AUGUACAAAUCCCAGUCAUCAGCGCUCUCCUCGAUUCUUCCCACAACCAGACUAGGGUUUCUCACCGGCGGCGGGAUGGGCGGCGACGCGACGGAGAUUGCCAUCCUCGAGCGCCAUGGGCCCCAGGAGAUGGCCUCGCUGCCGAUCCCCGACGAGCUCCUGCCUGAAAUCUUCCUCCGCCUGCCCACCCCAGCCGACCUCGUCCGCACCUCCGCCGCCUGCGUCUCCUUCCGCCGCGUCGUCGCCGACCGCCCCUUCCUCCGGAGGUACCGCAAGAUCCACGCCCCGCCCCUCCUCGGCUUCCUCGACCUGAACGGAGUCUUCCACCCAGCCGAGCCGCCUCACCCCUUCACCUCGGCAGCAGAAGCCUUCGCCGACUUCAGCUUAUCCUUCCUCCCUGCCCCAGCCAGCGACUGGGCCAUUCAAGCCAUCCGCGACGGCCGCGUCCUACUUGGCAGGCGCGGCGUCUUCUCGGAGUUUGUGGUAUGUGAUCCCUUGCACCGGCGGCACAUCCUGCUUCCCCCAAUCCCUCAUGUCAACGACUGGCCGCUUCCUUCAGACAACUCACAGAUGUUCCUCAUGGGCGGCAAUGAGGAUUCGUCGGACGAAACAUUUUUCAGAGUGAUAUAUGUGGCAGUGGCAGUCGACCUACAUAAGCAGGCCGCCUUGGUCUUCUCUUCCAGCACCGGACAAUGGCGAGCUACUCCAUCAAUAGAGCGAUCACCUAACUCAUACUGGCUCCAGUGUGCGUAUGGCUGCUUGUAUGGGUUGACAGAGAGAGACCUCCCGCUCAAAGCCAGAUCCGGAGGUUCCAUCUCUUCUUAUGUGCAAAUAGCCAUUGUGGAGGCAGGGGAGGGCGUCAUUGGGAUGUUUGUGCUACCAUAUAAUACACAUGACCUCAGUUAUUUCAUUAAGAGAAACAACGGUGGAAGUUCCAGCCACUGGCAGUUGGAGAAGACAAUCUCAUUGGAUUCUUCUCACUACUCUCUAAACAAGCAUUCAACAGGGAGGAAAUUGUUCCUAUACCAUCGCGGAAGCCCAUCGCUUGAUGCCGGCCUUUUCUCAAUGGACGUCAAGACAUUCCAGCUUGAGAUGGUGUUUGCCUGCAAAUAUGGCAUGCUUAACCCACGGGCAUAUUACAACUUUCCACCAUUCUUGUCGACUCCAAUAGUAUCAAGUGGUACUCAGGAACAAGGUGUGGAGACGCCACAAGCUGAAGAUGAGCCCAUAGAUAGCCCUCAGUACGAGAGCACUGUUGAUGAGGCAAAUGUUGGAAGGCCGGCCGAUGUAUCGAGGACUGGAGAUGAUAAGGUAGCAAGAGCAGUAAUGACCUUUAAUUUCUGGCACAAUCAGUUGGUUAAUUGGACCAUAGAAGUCACUUUCAGUUUUGUUUCUGCUUUGUCAAAAAUAAUUGGUGGCCAGUCAAGUAGGAGUUACCUCGUCCAUAUUUCUUUUGAUGGAUGUGAUCGUGAGCUUCUACGCGGCGACCAUGGACGCGGUGAAGCACGGGAGCGAGCCGUCGCGGCCACGAACGACAUACCGGAGGUAGCAGCAACUCGCGCACCGUGGUCGUCCAGCGUGCCGGCGAAGUUCUCGUGCACUAUCAAGAACGCGCGCGCCAGGAUCUUCCGGGAGGCAGAAGCCCACGACCAGCCCUUUUGUUGUUUUGCCUUAGCGAUUUUUUAG
rnacentral:rRNA from 1 species